rfam:Schistosoma mattheei strain Denwood, Zambia genome assembly, scaffold: SMTD_scaffold0006915
ACCCAGAUGACGAGUCCCGAAUGGGACAAAACACGUGUCGUGGAU